GCCGGUGGACGUGAUGACCACUCUUUUUUCCCCAUCAGAUCGACAAUGCUGAUGGUUCUUUGCCUUUGCCAGUUACUUCUGAUCACACCGGC